UACGUAGGGGGCGAGCGUUGUUCGGAUUUAUUGGGCGUAAAGGGUGCGUAGGCGGUUUGGCAAGUCUUGUGUGAAAUCUUCGGGCUCAACCCGAAGCCUGCAUAAGAAACUGCCGGGCUUGAGUAUGGGAGAGGUGAGUGGAAUUUCCGGUGUAGCGGUGAAAUGCGUAGAUAUCGGAAGGAACACCUGUGGCGAAAGCGGCUCACUGGACCAUAACUGACGCUGAGGCACGAAAGCUAGGGGAGCAAACAGG
rnacentral:rRNA from 1 species